AGAGAAAAACUCGUCGAAUGCAGACUUAUCGAGACGUCUAACCGUUGGAACAAACUUGGAAUUCCUUAACAGAGCAGAGUCCACGAAACCCCAUCCAUUUGUCAUGGCAAUUUGGAAAAUGCCAGCAGAUCUAUCAGACAUUGAUCAUAAUAAAUGGACAGGUCACCUUAGCCACCCGGAUCCAGUCUGUAUCCAGAUCAGAUGGUGGAUCAGCACCUAGAGAUGACCUCUACAGCCCUGAAUGUCAGUGGAGACCAGGGCAAUUAGAUGAGCCCCAGAGACAGAUCCCCAGUAAAGACCUUGUCUCCUAGAUGGACAUCGGCACAAGACAUUGGGAACCAGAUGAGGUCCACUGCACAAUCAGACUCUGCUGCAGCCUGGAAUUGAACUGCUGGUUUCGUCUGGCCAGAGGAGAACUUGCCCCCCAACUGAGUCUGAUUUCUCCCAAGAUUUUUUCUCAAUUCUAUCACCGAUGGAGUUUUGGUUCCUUGCCGCUGUUGCCUCUGGCUUGCUUAGUUGGGGACACUUAAUAUCCAGCGAUAUCGUCUACUUGAAUGCACAGCUGUACGAUAAAUCACUGAAUCAAUGAUGAACUGACUUUAACUGAAAAUUAAGUAUUUAGUGUUGUCCUUUUGCAUUAUUACACACUAUUUUCCUAUUUAAUACUGUAAAUCUGCUUUGACACUGUAUUUUUAAAUAUAACAGUGUGGAAAUUUCAGUAAUUUGCAAGGGACAACUUCUCACUUUGAGCACACGAAUGCGUGUCUCGUUUAUUUUAAAAGCAAAAACAGAAUACUCAAACAAUGGCGCUGACCGGCGUUUUACGUCAUCACGCAUUCCGAACAUUUAAAGGGACCACAAUCCCUGAACAGUUAUGCAGAACACAGUGUACAGAACUACACUUAACAAAGGUGAAUUAUGUCUGUCACAUUCACUACAACAGGCUCAUUACUCAUAAUACAUGGAAAAUACAGUGGCAAAUGGACUUUGCUUUUCCAUUUGAAAUUUGUCAGUCACUGU